rnacentral:rRNA from 1 species
UAGGGAAUCUUCGGCAAUGGGGGGAACCCUGACCGAGCAACGCCGCGUGAGUGAAGAAGGUUUUCGGAUCGUAAAGCUCUGUUGUUAAGGAAGAACGAGUGUGAGAAUGGAAAGUUCAUGCUGUGACGGUACUUAACCAGAAAGGGACGGCUAACUACGUGCCAGCAGCCGCGGUAAUACGUAGGUCCCGAGCGUUGUCCGGAUUUAUUGGGCGUAAAGCGAGCGCAGGCGGUUAGAAAAGUCUGAAGUGAAAGGCAGUGGCUCAACCAUUGUAGGCUUUGGAAACUGUUUAACUUGAGUGCAGAAGGGGAGAGUGGAAUUCCAUGUGUAGCGGUGAAAUGCGUUGAUAUAUGGAGGAACACCGGUGGCGAAAGCGGCUCUCUGGUCUGUAACUGACGCUGAGGCUCGAAAGCGUGGGGAGCGAACAGG